GGCACGUAGUUGGCCGGGGCUUCUUCUGGAGGUACCGUCAAUUUCGUCCCUCCUGAAAGGGGUUUACAACCCGAAGGCCUUCAUCCCCCACGCGGCGUCGCUGUCUCAGGCUUGCGCCCAUUGGACAAGAUUC
rnacentral:rRNA from 1 species